rnacentral:tRNA from 2 species
AAGCUUAUAGUUCAAUGGUAGAACGUCUUGCUCAUAACGAGACUGCUGUUGGUUCGAUUCCAGCUAAGCUUA